rnacentral:rRNA from 1 species
ACUCCUACGGGAGGCAGCAGUGGGGAAUCUUGGACAAUGGGCGCAAGCCUGAUCCAGCCAUGCCGCGUGAGUGAUGAAGGCCUUAGGGUUGUAAAGCUCUUUCGCCAGGGAUGAUAAUGACAGUACCUGGUAAAGAAACCCCGGCUAACUCCGUGCCAGCAGCCGCGGUAAUACGGAGGGGUUAGCGUUGUUCGGAAUUACUGGGGCGUAAAGCGCGCGUAGGCGGGGUUGUUAAGUUAGAGGUGAAAUCCCGGGGGCUCAACCCCGGAACUGCCUUUAAUACUGGCAACCUAGAGUUCGAGAGAGGUGAGUGGAAUUCCGAGUGUAGAGGUGAAAUUCGUAGAUAUUCGGAGGAACACCAGUGGCGAAGGCGGCUCACUGGCUCGAUACUGACGCUGAGGUGCGAAAGUGUGGGGAGCAAACAGGAUUAGAUACCCUGGUAGGAUAGCG